rnacentral:lncRNA from 1 species
AAGCUAACCAUAAACCUAAUUUAAACUUUUACACGGGCUGAAAUCAUGAGUCGAACAUGAUCUCUUACACGAGUUAAACUCAUAAAUUGGAUCAGGGAAUUAAUACUAAAUCCACCAACCAAUCUUUUAACAAGUUUAGCUUUGAACCCAAACAAACACCCCCUUAAAGGAAAUUAUUCAACCAAGAAAAAUACCUCUUGGUGAAUUUAUAAUAUUACCCAUUUUCCAA